UACGAAGGGUGCAAACGUUUGCUCGGAAUUAUUGGGCGUAAAGCGCACGUAGGCGGCUUAGCAAGUCGGAAGUGAAAUCCCCCGAGCUCAACUCGGGAACUGCCGUCAUACUGGCGGGCUUGAAUCCGGGAGAGGGAUGCGGAAUUCCAGGUGUAGCGGUGAAAUGCGUAGAUAUCUGGAGGAACACCGGUGGCGAAGGCGGCAUCCUGGACCGGCAUUGACGCUGAGGCGCGAAAGCUAGGGGAGCAAACGGGG
rnacentral:rRNA from 1 species